ACUUUAUGAACUUUGGAAAUAUAAAAUCUAGUGAGCAAUACUAAGUAAUGAAAAAGAGAAGCUAAUAAGACAACUUAAAAUAUUUAAAAAAACCACAAAUGGACAAGUUUUACUAAAGUCUUAUCUUUUAAUUAAUUUUAGUGUUAGGUAUAUUAUGUACCUGAAAAUGGGGAAUGAAGCAUUUUAUGAAUAAUGUAAAAAAUAAGACAAGUGGAGUAUGAAAUAAUGGUUGGUUAAGUAACAUUACCUCAUGAACAGGAAACAGUAACUGAAACUAUGUUCUUCCACAUUUAAUCUUAAUAAGUUCAGCAGUUUGAAUGUCAAUGAGAUAUUAUUAUAAACAAACUGGAUUUGUAGAUUUUGGGAAGAAUUAUAUCUUUAAAAUACCUAACUAUUAUUAUUUACAAUUGUUGUCUUAAGGAAACAAUCAGGAUGUAUUCAUAGUAACUGUAGGUAUCAUAGUAAUUUUAUGAAAUCAUCACAACAUCUAACGUUAGGUUUUAUGAAUUGAACAAUUUUUUGUA